rnacentral:rRNA from 1 species
UACGGGGGGAGCUAGCGUUGUUCGGAUUUACUGGGCGUAAAGGGUGCGUAGGUGGCGAGGUAAGUUUGAUGUGAAAUCUCCGGGCUUAACCCGGAAAUGGCAUUGAAUACUCUCUCGCUCGAGGGUUGGAGGGGGGACUGGAAUUCUCGGUGUAGCAGUGAAAUGCGUAAAUAUCGAGAGGAACACCAGUGGCGAAGGCGAGUCCCUGGACAACUCCUGACACUGAGGCACGAAAGCUAGGGGAGCAAACAGG